UACGGGGGGAGCAAGCGUUGUUCGGAUUUACUGGGCGUAAAGGGCGCGUAGGCGGCCGUGCAAGUCUGGCGUGAAAGCCCCGGGCUCAGCCCGGGAAGUGCGCUCGAAACUGCGCGGCUCGAGUGCCGGAGGGGAGAGUGGAAUUCCUGGUGUAGCGGUGAAAUGCGUAGAUAUCAGGAGGAACACCAAUUGCGAAGGCAGCUCGCUGGGACGUUACUGACGCUGAGACGCGAAAGCGUGGGGAGCAAACAGG
rnacentral:rRNA from 1 species